UACGUAGGUGGCAAGCGUUGUCCGGAUUUAUUGGGCGUAACGAGCGUGUAGGCGGCUUGGUAGGUCUCGCGUCAAAACCUGAGGCUCAACCUCAGUUCGCGUGGGAAACCACCUAGCUAGAGUCCGGAAGAGGAGAACGGAAUUCCCAGUGUAGCGGUGAAAUGCGCAGAUAUUGGGAAGAACACCAGUGGCGAAGGCGGUUCUCUGGGACGGUACUGACGCUGAGACGCGAAAGCGUGGGGAGCGAACAGG
rnacentral:rRNA from 1 species